rnacentral:rRNA from 1 species
GAUGAACGCUGGCGGCGUGCCUAAUACAUGCAAGUCGAGCGAACAGAUGAGGAGCUUGCUCCUCUGACGUUAGCGGCGGACGGGUGAGUAACACGUGGAUAACCUACCUAUAAGACUGGGAUAACUUCGGGAAACCGGAGCUAAUACCGGAUAAUAUAUUGAACCGCAUGGUUCAUUAGUGAAAGACGGUUUUGCUGUCACUUAUAGAUGGAUCCGCGCCGCAUUAGCUAGUUGGUAAGGUAACGGCUUACCAAGGCAACGAUGCGUAGCCGACCUGAGAGGGUGAUCGGCCACACUGGAACUGAGACACGGUCCAGACUCCUACGGGAGGCAGCAGUAGGGAAUCUUCCGCAAUGGGCGAAAGCCUGACGGAGCAACGCCGCGUGAGUGAUGAAGGUCUUCGGAUCGUAAAGCUCUGUUAUUAGGGAAGAACAAAUGUGUAAGUAACUAUGCACGUCUUGACGGUACCUAAUCAGAAAGCCACGGCUAACUACGUG